GCUGGGCUGGGGGCCCAGUUGGUCUGAUCGACCCGGCUCGACCCGCUCGGUCACCAACAUCUCAGAUACUUAUUAUAGAGUCCCGAGACACAAUCGUCUCGGAGUACAAACAUCUCGGGAUCACCCCGCCUCGGAUUUGCUCUCAGGAUAUAUUCAAUGGUCUCGGGGAGUCCUCCUCGGGGUCAUCUUGAAACUGUUUAAAUAUCACUUGAAGACUAUGACCGGGAUUUAUGGGAUAAGGUUGACCACGUAAAUUCCCAAAAAGCUGCAAAAGAACUCUAUCCCGAGUUCCCCGUGAUAGAGCCUUAUCCCACAAAAUAUGGGAUAAAAUGAUGUUGUCUAUCUAAAAUUAGCUAGCAGAAGUGUCCUACUCAAACUGGACUCCCAGGAAGGUAAGUAUGAUCUCAUGCAAUCUAGGGAUUAGAAUCCUAAUGAAACUACAUCAGUGCACUCCAGUAAUCUUAGAACUGUGUGCCUAUAAAUAGACUGCUACCCUAGGUAUAAAACGACUCUCUGAUCUCUGAGUUCAUUCUGCUCUCAAUACUCCCAAAUUUGUCUACAAAAACUUAUUAGGCAUCGGAGUGAGAACGGUUGGCACCCUUGACGAGCUGUUUAUUCUUUUGUAGAUUUCUUGAUAGCGAAUCAUAAGGCAACAAGUCAUGAUACUAAAAACUGUAUCAAUAGUUUGGCACCGUUUGUGGGAACGUUUUGUUUCUCUCAAAGAAAAAUUCAUGAUGGUGAAUACACGCUGCAAUAAUAUUGAAGAUGGGCAAUCUUCAAAUCCAGAAAUCACAAUAGCUGCUCUCAACGAGCGAAUCGCCUAGAUUGAAAAAAAAUAUGGACAAAUUGACCGCACAAAAUGCUACAUUACAAGCCGCUCGCAACCCAGAGGGCUCUCUCCACAACGCCUCGACACCUCUCCAUAAUACUGAGCACUCUCGCACACCGACGGUUGUUCCACCCAUUGUGAAUCUCGAGAACAAGGAGGAGAAUAGCCACAUUGAUGCUUGGCUAAGAGAAGAAGGGAAUCCUUCCAAUCGUGAGGAAGGAUCUAGUGAGAGAAUUAUUUGUAGGGAGCCCAAUCUCGAGAAUCUCUCCUAGACCAAGACCGAAAAGAAGAUGACGGACAUGAUCAAUAAGCUGGAACAAAGAUGUGAUAUGCUAUCCAAGGUGGUCCAGCGGCAAGAUAGGGGAAAGGCUUCCUUGGUGGACAAUCUCUUGCUUCCUGAAGACCUCCUGAAGACCGCUUCACCAUUCAAAGACAAAGUGGCCAAGUUUCUCCUUUCUGAGAAAUUCAAGGUUCCGGAUUCCCGACCUACACUAGAGUCGAAGAUCCGAUUGAGCACUUGGAUAAUUUUCGAGCUCACACGGAUCUCCACCGAACACCAGAUGCCGUAGCAUGCCAGGCCUUUCCUCUUACUCUAUCAGGGAAUGCCCGGGUUUGGUUCGAAAACUUCCCCCAAAGUUUAUCAAUGACUUUGAUGGUCUCGAAAAGGUGUUCCUAACCCAGUUUCUAGCUGGAAGAGUGCGAAGGAAGCCCGCUGGAUCCCUGAUGUCUUUGCACCAGGAACCCAAUGAGUCGUUGAAGGACUACUUCAGAAGAUUCAACCUAGAGAAGCUUGGCACAGAGAGUGCCAUUGAUGAUUUCAUCUAUGGUUCCCUAUACGAGGGAAUCAGAAAGGAUGGGCCCUUGAUGGCGGAUCUAGCUCGGAAACCACCACAAGACUUGCAUGGGUUUGUGGAUAAAGCAGAAGAAUUCAUAAACCAGGAGGAAACCACUCCAGGCCCUCCUAGUACCCGACCAAUCUGUUAGUUUUUGUGUUGGUUGCAUUCUGUUGGAUAAAAUCACUUCUAUGUAAUGUUGCUGCUUUCACAGGGAUGCUGUUUUAUUUAGAGUCUACACUUCAGUUAUGAGCUUCAAGAAGACUCUGUGCAGAAUUCAAAUCAAUCAGUUUAGUUCCCUUGCAUUCGUCCGGAUGACAUGGUAUUUCGCCCGGAUGCUCUUUAGUCAGCAACAUCUGUCCGGACGACGAGAACUUUCCUUCCGGACGCUUAUUAGUGUCUAGAAACUUCGAACUGUUCAAGAUUGCAUCCGUCCGGAAGUAAUGGCAAAUCGUCCCGCCGCUAUUCAGAGUUCGAGAAGAAUCCAGCGUUCAAGUGCAUCCGUCAGGACGACGUGGCAAUACCGUCCGGGCUCCAUUCAGUGUUUGACAAGCAUUAGGGUUUCUGCCUCAAGACACAUUUAUGGGAAGACGGCUGCAACCAUUUGGACGAUGUGUGAUCCCGUUCGGACAAUGUCCUCCAUAAGGCAAGUCGUGCAUACAAAGUUCAACCAUCCGGACGUUAGUCUUCAUGGUCCGGACGAUCAAGCAUCAUAUAUGGAAAUUGCAUGCACCAGUUCAACCGUUCGGACAUCAGCCUUCAGGGUUCGGAUGCUCAAAGCCUUAUUAUGGUAAUUACGUGCAGCCGAAGUGCAACUGUCUAGACGCUAAGGAAACACAGUUCGGACGCGGCCUUGUUAUGGAAGCUUUCAACGCUAUUUUGGAAAGGCGGUUGCAGUUGACCGUUCGGACGCUCGGUCAAGCAGUCCAGACACCCUCCGGUAUUUUGAUCAUAAUGUUUUACUCAAAUAUCGGAUUGGGAUGAAAUCGGCAUCAUUGGAAAGCUAACGAAAAAUGAUGCAACUUGAUGGUCUGGACGGCAAAUAGAAAUGUCCAGACGGCCCCCGUCCGGACGGAAACAUCAAGCUUCCGGACGGCCCUGCCAAAAUUUGAGAAUUUUUCAGAAUUGCUUUUCAGACAUGGAAACAAUUGCCCAUCCGGACGCCCAUGGAUGCCGUCCGGACGCGCGUGUCAGAGACUCCAAUUCUGACCUGAUUUAGGACUUCUAAAACAUAAAAAUAAGAGACUCUAGGCAGGCACUUUACACAGAAUUCGUGGUGAAUUCCUUAUAGCUUAGAGAGGGUGUUUAGGGAGAUAUUGAAGAUCUGCUAGCUCUCUAGCUUUUGCCAGUGUGUGAUUUGAUCAGUUGUGAAAUCUAUUUUAGGAGUUGGCCCUAAAGUAAAGGAUUCCAUUGAAGACCCAUUCAGGUAGGAGACCUGGUUGGGAGGCGUUCGUGUUAGGCUACACGUUAGAGUGCAAGGUACGACCACUGCAUCAGGGGUAUGUGAGUGCUACUACUUUGUAACUAGCUUUGUUUUCUGAAUAGUGGAUAUUCUGGGUUUGGCUGCUCUGGAAUGAUUUUUUUCUUAAUUGAGUUUCCACUUCGUCAACAAAAUAUUUGUCUCCUUCAAUUCCGUUUAAUAUUUUGUUGCACACUGUUCACACACACACACACUUGUUAAAAUUAGAAGUCCAAUAAUUUUCAAUUGGUGUUAGAGCAGGUACACUCUAUUAAGGAUUUAUUUCCUGAGUGUGAUCCUUAUCUCUUGUGACUUCUAUUUUUUGAUUACACCUUUUAUCAUGGAUUUCUCUUAGUUAUCUGAAGAAAAUUAUGAUAUUGAGCUCUCUAAAGUUUUUGCUAAAUUGGAUAAAAUUGUUUCUCUAAAAGAGCUCAAAAAGGUGAAGCAAGAAAAAGAGUAUUUGAUUGUUCAGUUAUCUGAAUCAUGUGUUUUGAUUGACUCUUUGAGAUCUGGGAAUACCAUACUAUUUGACAUCAUUGAUACACUUGAGAAUAAAUUAAAAGAAUCUAAACAUUUCUUGAAAAAAUUCUCAAGUAAUAAUUUAAAAAGCAUGCUUUGUAUUCACUCAGAUGUUUCUAACAAGCUUGAUUUAAUUGUUGAUAAUUUGCGUGCUUCUACUUCACAUGUUUCUGAUUCUGAAUUAGAUUUUAUUAUUAUUAAACCUGUGAUAGUAGACACUUCUUGUUUGGAUAAUUCUGAAAAUUCUUGCUUGAAUAAUUGUGUGAAGCCAAAAUCCAAAGAUACAGGUACACAAGCUCAUGCUAAGUUUGUCCCUACCUAUCAUAAUUGUGGAAAGAUUGGUCAUAUUAGACCAAAUUGUUAUUUGUUGAAAUCCCAUAGGCCUUGGAUUAAGUAGGAUGCUCUGAGGAAAAGUGAAAUUGAAGAUUCUUCCUUAUCUAAAUAUGUCCUUCCUCAUAGAAGACAUAUAAAAGGUAAGGGCAAUGUUAUUUGUAUGAAUGCUAAUCAUAAUUCUGCAGAGAAUGUCAAGAAGCAUUCAAACAAAAGAAGCUUGUCCACCUUUUAUCACUACGGCAUCACCGGUCACAUCUGACCCAAAUGUCCACAGCUCCAGGCUCAAAAGUCGAAGGUUCAGAAGAAGCUGCCAACAAGAGCUACAUCAGGCACUCUACCUCCUACGGCUCUUCAGGCUCCAUGGCAUCAGCAGAAGUUUGUUCCUGCCAAUCAGAGUAGCAAACCAAAGAAGAACAAAUCAAUGCGCUACAAGAGAAAGCCGCAGAAGCCCAAUGGCAGCCAUGGCUAUGAAGGAUUGAUGAGCCUAAUACAAGGUAUGCUAAGGAGUAUGGCCAACAUGGACAUGACCCUCAAACCAUCUCCACGGGUCAAGCAGGUAUGGGUUAAGAGUGAUGAGACUAUUCACCCUUUGAGGGGGAGUGGACUUACCUAAUAAAGGUGAAGUCUCACCAUGCCUAGGAUUUUGGUUCUUAAAUCCUAGUGCAUGUCAGGUAUGUUUGUAUUGCAUCGUUUAUGAAAAUUGAAAUUGACUUCGAAAAUAAACAACAAGUGUGUGCACAAAGUGUUAACAAAAAUAAUAAUGCAGAAAUUAAAUGACACAGAGAUUUUUGUUGAUGAAGUGGAAACUCAAUUAAGAGAAAAACCACUCCGAGGCAGCCAAACCCAGGAUAUCCACUAUUCAGAAGACAAAGCUAGAUACAAGAUAGUAACACUCACAUAUACCCGAUGUAGUGGUCGUACCUUGCUCUCUAACAUGUAACCCAACACGAACGCUUCCCAACUAGGUCUCCUACCUGAAUGGGUCUUUAAUGGAAUCCUUUACCUUAGGGCCAACCCUUAAGAUAGACUUCAGUUGUAGCGCAGCAACAAGACACUUGCAAUGGCUUCAGAGGAAACUAAAUCAGCUCAAAAAUCUUCAAAAUAACUUCUCUGAGCACUUGUGGAAUUCAAUACCGAAUUCUGGCAGUUCUCAAUGCCCAGGGGCCUCUAUUUAUAGGCUAAGGUGCAGAAUGGGCGACUGCUGUAAUAUGUAUGGAUGCCGUCCAGACGGUGAACCUGGGCCAUCCGGAUGGACAACAAGGCUACAAAAUUUUCCGAGAUUUUCACUGAAAAUCUUUCCUGUUUAUUCAUAUGUUUCAAACAGAAUGCAGAUAUUCCUUUAGGGAUGACUGUUAAAGCACGUCAGGCGGCUGCUUUUCUGUCUUGCUAUUUCUAAACCUCUCUCCAUGUGGAUAGGUUUGGCUUUACCUUACAUGCUGGGAAUAGAUGUCAUUUCCUCUUCCAUAAGCAUUUCUUUGUUGUUUUUCUGUCUCAUUUUUCAACAAAAAAAAAAAAAAAAAAAAAUUGGGGGAGAAGAUGUAGAAUUUUAUUUUUUCUUUUUAUUGCUUUUCAGAUAUUGCAUGUGUUUUUGCCUAAUACCUCAGUUCAUUGUGCAUUGAUUAAAUAUGCAUAUAUAUGAUUGAGAGUUUAUGCAUGAUAUCUGCUAAGUUUUCGUGUUGCAUCUUAAUGAUAGAUAGUUACUUUCCUCAUGCGAUGAAAAUGUGCACUAUCCAAGGCUCCCCUAAGUUUUAGAUUUUCAGUGUGAAGCGUCCGGAUGGACCUAUUCUUACGUCCGGACGAGCGCAGUCUUGUCGUACGCUGUCCUAGCUGUAGCCAUUCGGAUGGUUACGUGAUAUGUCCAGACGGGAUCUCUACAGGAAUAUGUCGUCCAGCAGCUCCCAGCACAAUAUCUAGCAGAUGGAUCCUUUGGAAAACUGACCGUUGUUGAAGUUGGAUGUUCAAAUUCCAAAGGUCUCAGGAUUAAGAUGAGCCUUUUCUCCUAGCUCAUGCAGAGCCUUCUGUAGCAUUCCCUCGAAUCUUUAUCAGUUAGAGGAUUAGUGGUGAAUCUCCUCAGUUAUCUUGCAGACCAGUUGCUUAGAGGAUGUCAUUCUGCGGAUAACCAGUUUCAGGCUUUACAAAUUCAAGAGAUUGAAGAUUUUUCAGUCCAUGGUUCCCGACUUCCUGAGCUAGAAGCCGAAGUAGUACUAAUCCAGCUUUUAUACGGAUUUCUCUUCGCUACUUGAUUUCAGUGGAUCAGCGGGAUUUGGUAUUUGGAGGAUUUUUGUUCCUCUCUUUUCGGCCACUUGUGGACUCUUCUCUAUUUUCCUAUUGUUUAGGAUUUUAGAACGUUUUUGUUUGUGGAUUUUAUAUACUCUGUUUACUCUUGUCCUGUUGAGGCAUCAA